rnacentral:rRNA from 1 species
GACGAACGCUGGCGGCGUGCUUAACACAUGCAAGUCGAACGGAAAGGCCCUGCUUUUGUGGGGUGCUCGAGUGGCGAACGGGUGAGUAACACGUGAGUAACCUGCCCUUGACUUUGGGAUAACUUCAGGAAACUGGGGCUAAUACCGGAUAGGAGCUCCUGCUGCAUGGUGGGGGUUGGAAAGUUUCGGCGGUUGGGGAUGGACUCGCGGCUUAUCAGCUUGUUGGUGGGGUAGUGGCUUACCAAGGGUUUGACGGGUAGCCGGCCUGAGAGGGUGACCGGCGACAUUGGGACUGAGAGACGGACCAGACUCGUACGGGAGGCAGCAGUGGGGAAUAUUGCACAAUGGGCGGAAGCCUGAUGCAGCAACGCCGCGUGCGGGAUGACGGCCUUCGGGUUGUAAACCGCUUUCGCCUGUGACGAAGCGGGAGUGACGGUAAUGGGUAAAGAAGCACCGGCUAACUACGUG